GAUGAACGCUGGCGGCGUGCCUAAUACAUGCAAGUCGAGCGAACAGACGAGGAGCUUGCUCCUUUGACGUUAGCGGCGGACGGGUGAGUAACACGUGGGUAACCUACCUAUAAGACUGGGAUAACUUCGGGAAACCGGAGCUAAUACCGGAUAAUAUUUCGAACCGCAUGGUUCGAUAGUGGAAGAUGGCUUUGCUAUCACUUAUAGAUGGACCUGCGCCGUAUUAGCUAGUUGGUAAGGUAACGGCUUACCAAGGCAACGAUACGUAGCCGACCUGAGAGGGUGAUCGGCCACACUGGAACUGAGACACGGUCCAGACUACUACGGGAGGCAGCAGUAGGGAAUCUUCCGCAAUGGGCGAAAGCCUGACGGAGCAACGCCGCGUGAGUGAUGAAGGUCUUCGGAUCGUAAAACUCUGUUAUUAGGGAAGAACAAACGUGUAAGUAACUGUGCACGUCUUGACGGUACCUAAUCAGAAAGCCACGGCUAACUACGUG
rnacentral:rRNA from 1 species